rnacentral:piRNA from 1 species
UGCUUGGAGGGGCUCACAGAUGUUUC